UACAGAGGUGGCAAGCGUUGUUCGGAAUUACUGGGCGUAAAGCGCACGUAGGCGGACUCUUAAGUCGGUGGUGAAAUCCUGGAGCUCAACUCCAGAACUGCCUUCGAUACUGAGAGUCUUGAGUCCGGGAGAGGUGAGUGGAACUGCGAGUGUAGAGGUGAAAUUCGUAGAUAUUCGCAAGAACACCAGUGGCGAAGGCGGCUCACUGGCCCGGUACUGACGCUGAGGUGCGAAAGCGUGGGGAGCAAACAGG
rnacentral:rRNA from 1 species